ACAAUUUAAAAUUUGUAUUUUAGGGUCAGGGUGCCUGGCUGGAGCAGUCAGUAGACAGACCAUACCACUCUUGACCUCAGGGUUGUGAGUUCGAGCUCCACAUUGGAUGUAAAAUUUGUAUUUUAGAUUUUUUUUUUAAACCAGGCAUAGAAGAUCUUCUAGUGACUUGCCCUUUAGGAUGACUUACUCUGAACAGAAAAGAAUGAAUGGUUAUAAUUGAUUUUUGUAUCUUUAGACUUGAAAUAGCCUCACUGUGAGCACUGUAAUCUGUGGUAUCUCUAUUAUUACAUCAUCA